rnacentral:rRNA from 1 species
UACGUAGGGGGCAAGCGUUAUCCGGAUUUACUGGGUGUAAAGGGAGCGUAGACGGGUAUGCAAGUCUGAAGUGAAAGCCCGGGGCUCAACCCCGGAACUGCUUUGGAAACUGUAAAUCUAGAGUGCAGGAGAGGUAAGUGGAAUUCCUAGUGUAGCGGUGAAAUGCGUAGAUAUUAGGAGGAACACCAGUGGCGAAGGCGGCUUACUGGACUGUAAUUGACGUUGAGGCUCGAAGGCGUGGAUCAAACAG